rnacentral:misc_RNA from 1 species
GGCAUCGAACUGCUAGCUCCGUACGCCGCUUCAGUGAUGCGGGAGCUUGUGCUCGCGCGCGCUGCGGGUUCCUGUUUUGGUUGCCUAUUCGGAACGAUUCCUCUCGCUAUCCCUCUUCCUCCUCUYGGCCUUCGCGGUCYGGAGGAGGACGUCGUGGCUGCUCCCGUGUCCCGAUCGAUUCGAACGCGUCGUCGUUGGGUCGUUCCGGUGCACGGGCCGCAGCUUGAUGUCUCGGAUGCGGAAGAUAGUGCGGGCGUGGGGUCCUCGACCUUCCUAUGCCCGAGUCCCUCGUUGCGAAAGACUGCCGUGCGCCGCUGCGAGCUCUCGCGACCCGAUGGUCGGGAGCCUCGUGCGGAGCCGGCGUCCCGGAGGAAUGCUACCUGGUU